GAUGAAGAACGUAGCGAAAUGCGAUAAGUAAUGUGAAUUGCAGAAUUCAGUGAAUCAUCGAAUCUUUGAACGCACAUUGCGCCCCCUGGUAUUCCGGGGGGCAUGCCUGUUCGAGCGUCAUUUCACCACUCAAGCCUCGCUUGGUAUUGGGCAACGCGGUCCGCCGCGUGCCUCAAAUCGACCGGCUGGGUCUUCUGUCCCCUAAGCGUUGUGGAAACUUUCGCUAAAGGGUGUUCGGGAGGCUACGCCGUAAAACAACCCCAUUUCUAAGGUUGACCUCGGAUCAGGUAGGGAUACCCGCUGAACUUAAGCAUAUAAUAAGCGGAGGA
rnacentral:misc_RNA from 1 species